AAGUAAAGAUGCAAAUAUUUCUUUCCCCUCUUGAAUUUGCAAUUUCUAUGGUCACUAUGUUAAUUAUUAUAAGGAGCAUCUUCCUCGUAGCAAGUCAGCAAUGUAUUAUACAUUCUUAAUCACAACAGAUAUUAAUUAACAACAUUUAUGCCUUUAUCCUGUCCAACAGUGUGGACAAACAUGACUUAUUUAAACAAAUCUUUCAUAGCCACAGAAAAAAAAGAUUUGAUUCAGUUGGCUGAGUAUUAAAAUACCAGUGGAUUCAUCUGAGAGUGAUAAAAGGUUCCAGUGUUGUGAUUUCUACUGAGAUGUACAGCAGCACCAAAAUACCUUGGCAGUUCAUUGAAGGGAGCUGAGGAAUGUACAGACCCCUCAGGGUGCUAUUUGACACACCCAUAUAUGAGUGGGCUCAGCAAGUCUUCAAGAUUGCACUGGUGGCAGAAAUGUUGAGACUUCAGCAGAGAAAACAGCUCCCAUCUGCUGUGAGAUGAAACCAUGAACCAAAAAGCCAAACAGAGAACCAGACUCUGCUGAGGUUCCUCCUCCACCUCCUCUGACGCCUCCAACUAAAGCUCCAGUUGCUUCAGUCCCUGAGGAUGAGAACAUGAACAAUGAACCUAUCAGAGAACGAGACUCUACUGCUCUCUCACCUCCUCUGACCCGUCCUCCUGCUGAACCUCCAGUCCAGACCAAAAUGAAGAAGAAGGGUGGAGUCAAACUUUCUGCUGCUGCCUGCCUGAGGACGAGGA